rnacentral:rRNA from 1 species
ACGGAAACAUGUCUAGCUUGCUAGAUGAUGUCGAGUGGCGGACGGGUGAGUAAUACUUAGGAACAUGCCUUUGGGUGGGGGAUAACUAUUGGAAACGAUAGCUAAUACCGCAUAAUGUCUACGGACCAAAGGGGGCUUCGGCUCCCGCCCAGAGAGUGGCCUAAGCGAGAUUAGCUAGUUGGUGUGGUAAAGGCUCACCAAGGCGACGAUCUCUAGCUGUUCUGAGAGGAAGAUCAGCCACACUGGAACUGAGACACGGUCCAGACUCCUACGGGAGGCAGCAGUGGGGAAUAUUGCACAAUGGGGGAAACCCUGAUGCAGCCAUGCCGCGUGUGUGAAGAAGGCCUUCGGGUUGUAAAGCACUUUCAGUAAGGAGGAAAGGGAUGUAGUUAAUAGCUGCAUUCUGUGACGUUACUUACAGAAGAAGCACCGGCUAACUUCGUGCCAGCAGCCGCGGUAAUACGAGGGGUGCAAGCGUUAAUCGGAAUUACUGGGCGUAAAGCGUUCGUAGGCGGUUGAUUAAGCAAGAUGUGAAAGCCCAGGGCUCAACCUUGGAACUGCAUUUUGAACUGGUCAACUAGAGUACUGUAGAGGGUGGUGGAAUUUCCAGUG